GUAAUCUCUUUGUAGCAUCAAAAUGGCGCCAUGGGAGCUACGCGUUGUGGAGAGAAGCUUACCCCCUUGCAGGUAACUCG